UACGAAGGGGGCUAGCGUUGUUCGGAAUCACUGGGCGUAAAGCGCACGUAGGCGGCUUGUUAAGUCAGGGGUGAAAGCCUGGAGCUCAACUCCAGAACUGCCCUUGAUACUGGCAAGCUCGAGUAUGGAAGAGGUUGGUGGAACUCCGAGUGUAGAGGUGAAAUUCGUAGAUAUUCGGAAGAACACCAGUGGCGAAGGCGGCCAACUGGUCCAUUACUGACGCUGAGGUGCGAAAGCGUGGGGAGCAAACAGG
rnacentral:rRNA from 1 species